rnacentral:rRNA from 1 species
AGUGAACGCUGGCGGUAGGCCUAACACAUGCAAGUCGAACGGCAGCACAGUAAGAGCUUGCUCUUACGGGUGGCGAGUGGCGGACGGGUGAGGAAUACAUCGGAAUCUACUUUUUCGUGGGGGAUAACGUAGGGAAACUUACGCUAAUACCGCAUACGACCUACGGGUGAAAGCAGGGGAUCUUCGGACCUUGCGCGAUUGAAUGAGCCGAUGUCGGAUUAGCUAGUUGGCGGGGUAAAGGCCCACCAAGGCGACGAUCCGUAGCUGGGCUGAGAGGAUGAUCAGGCACACUGGACCUGAGACACGGUCCAGACUCCUACGGGAGGCAGCAGUGGGGAAUAUUGGACAAUGGGCGGAAGCCUGAUCCAGCCAUACCGCGUGGGUGAAGAAGGCCUUCGGGUUGUAAAGCCCUUUUGUUGUGAAAGAAAAGCAGCAGGUUAAUACCGCGCUGUUCUGACGGUACCCAAAGAAUAAGCACCGGCUAACUUCGUG